UCAUUGGUUAUUCGCAGCGAGACUACUGAGUUUGAUUGUACAUUCUCUUGGUCCCUAGCCAUUCGGGUCCUUGCUGUAUAUAUUGGCUUCAGUAGGUUUAGGUUCACUAUUUGGAAUAGGAUGCACCUAGAAGAAAUCUAUCAAUCUUGAUAGAAAAGAAGAAGUCCUAUACGAUUUAUGAGACUAAGUUCAGAAAGUCCUUGGC
rnacentral:lncRNA from 1 species